UACGAAGGGGGCUAGCGUUGCUCGGAAUUACUGGGCGUAAAGGGUGCGUAGGCGGGUCUUUAAGUCAGAGGUGAAAUCCUGGAGCUCAACUCCAGAACUGCCUUUGAUACUGAAGAUCUUGAGUUCGGGAGAGGUGAGUGGAACUGCGAGUGUAGAGGUGAAAUUCGUAGAUAUUCGCAAGAACACCAGUGGCGAAGGCGGCUCACUGGCCCGAUACUGACGCUGAGGCACGAAAGCGUGGGGAGCAAACAGG
rnacentral:rRNA from 1 species